rnacentral:rRNA from 1 species
AGAUUGAACGCUGGCGGCAUGCCUAACACAUGCAAGUCGAACGGGAGUAGCAAUACUCUAGUGGCGGACGGGUGAGGAAUACGUAGGAAUUUGCCCUUAAGUGGGGGAUAACCCGGGGAAACCCGGAUUAAUACCGCAUGACCUCGAAAGAGCAAAGUGGGGGAUCGCAAGACCUCACGCUUUUGGAGAAGCCUACGUCGGAUUAGCUAGUUGGUGAGGUAAUGGCUCACCAAGGCGACGAUCCGUAACUGGUCUGAGAGGAUGAUCAGUCACACCGGAACUGAGACACGGUCCGGACCUCCUACGGGAGGCAGCAGUGGGGAAUAUUGGACAAUGGGCGCAAAGCCGUGAUCCAGACAAUGCCGCGUGUGUAGAAGAAGGCCUGGUUGUAAGAGUACUUAAGUUAGGUAAGGAAAAGAACGUACUACUAACUAAC